AAUGCCAUUGUGGCGAUCGCCCUAGUCUAUUAGGAUAGGGAGGAAAGUCCGGGCAGCUGAACACUGAAACGGUAGUUGCUAACAGCAACCGUCUAAAUACUUUUUCACUAAAGGUUUAGAUAGGGAAAGUACCACAGAAAUUGCUCAUGCACUUUUAGUGCGUGGUGAAAAAAAAUCCUUCUGGAAACAGAAGAGGAUGGCAAACCCUACCGGCUGCAAGGUUGAGGUUCUCAGACUAGAUAAUUAGCUGUUCUUACAGCAUUAGAGGUGUUAAUUCAGUUUUUUGGGAGCCCCGCUUUAGUCCGCAUAUGUAAGCAAGUCUUACAAGAUAGAUGAUCGCGCCCAAGCCCAUGCUGACCGUAUGGGCUAAGGUUACAAAACCCGGCUUAUAACUUGGCAUUAGCU
rnacentral:RNase_P_RNA from 1 species